AUUGAACGCUGGCGGCAUGCUUUACACAUGCAAGUCGAACGGCAGCGCGGGCUUCGGCCUGGCGGCGAGUGGCGAACGGGUGAGUAAUACAUCGGAACGUGCCCAGUAGUGGGGGAUAGCUCGGCGAAAGCCGGAUUAAUACCGCAUACGACCUGAGGGUGAAAGCGGGGGAUCUUCGGACCUCGCGCUCUUGGAGCGGCCGAUGGCAGAUUAGCUAGUUGGUGGGGUAAAGGCCUACCAAGGCGACGAUCUGUAGCUGGUCUGAGAGGACGACCAGCCACACUGGGACUGAGACACGGCCCAGACUCCUACGGGAGGCAGCAGUGGGGAAUGUUGGACAAUGGGCGAAAGCCUGAUCCAGCAAUGCGGCGUGUGUGAUGAAGGCCUUCGGGUUGUAAAGCACUUUUGGCGGGAACGAAAAGGACUGUGCCAAUACCACGGUUCGAUGACGGUACCGGCAGAAUAAGCACCGGCUAACUACGUG
rnacentral:rRNA from 1 species